UCACCAUUCACUGAAACACCGGUUUGAUAAAGUUGUUAUGGCUAACACGGCUAACAGUCGCCCGCACACCCAACAGAUAAAGAACAACAUUAUUGCCCCCCUAAAGUUGUGUUUUAGUCCACCUGACAAAUGUGGUGCAGACUGACAGGUUUGGAACAGCUGUGAGGAAUCUGCUAAACAUGACUGACUGCAGACAUUUUUUAUUUAGUCCAACACGCAUCCUGCGUUCAUUCUUCUUCUCCCCUGUUGUUUAAUUCUGGUGGCACGAAGAUAAAAGCGAUCCGUGUCAUCGUUCCAAACGCAUGACCAGGAUCAAGAAUGUGAGCCACAAGCUGGCAUGUGCACACCCACGCAGUCACGCCCACACGCACAAAACGCAUAAGAGGCAGCGAAGGAGAGACGAAGGUGGAGAAUCUGAGCCCUGAGAGGUGCAGAAAAGAGGAAAUAAGAACAGGAGAGAGAGAAUGGCACGCACAGCUUGGCAUUUAAACAGAGGAUUUCCUCUGUACCUCGUCUUCCCUCCGCUCUUUCUGUUUACAUAAGGAGAGACUACUUCACAUAGCUCAUAUGAGAGUCCAGGAGUGUGUUUGUCUAUAUGUGUGUGUGUUCUCUCCACUAACAUAGGAAUG